rnacentral:rRNA from 1 species
CCCAGACUCCUACGGGAGGCAGCAGUGGGGGAUAUUGCACAAUGGGGGGAACCCUGAUGCAGCGACGCCGCGUGGGUGAAGGAGUGCUUCGGCAUGUAAAGCCCUAUCGGCAGGGAAGAAGCAAGACGGUACCUGACUAAGAAGCCCCGGCUAACUACGUGCCAGCAGCCGCGGUAAUACGUAGGGGGCGAGCGUUAUCCGGAUUCACUGGGUGUAAAGGGAGCGUAGACGGCCAAGCAAGCCAGGGGUGAAAGCCCGGGGCCCAACCCCGGGACUGCCCUUGGAACUGCAUGGCUGGAGUGCGGGAGGGGCAGGCGGAAUUCCUGGUGUAGCGGUGAAAUGCGUAGAUAUUAGGAGGAACACCAGUGGCGAAGGCGGCCUGCUGGACGACAACUGACGGUGAGGCGCGAAAGCGUGGGGAGCAAACAGGAUUAGAUACCCCUGUAGG